UACGUAGGGGGCAAGCGUUGUCCGGAAUCAUUGGGCGUAAAGCGCGCGUAGGCGGCCAGAUAAGUCCGGUGUGAAAGUCACAGGCUCAACCUGUGAAUGCCGCUGGAAACUGUCUGGCUUGAGUCCGGAAGGGGCGAGUGGAAUUCCUGGUGUAGCGGUGAAAUGCGCAGAUAUCGAGAGGAACACCUGCGGCGAAGGCGGGUUGCUGGGCUGACACUGACGCUGAUGCGCGAAAGCCAGGGGAGCGAACGGG
rnacentral:rRNA from 1 species